AGGACGAACGCUGGCGGCGUGCUUAACACAUGCAAGUCGAACGGGAUCCGCAAGGAUUCAGUGGCGAACGGGUGCGUAACACGUGAAGAAUUUGUCCAACGGCGGGGGAUAGCCGGCCCAACGGCCGGGUAAUACCGCGUACGACCUUUGAGGGGCAUCCCUCGAUGGUGAAAGCCGCAAGGCGCCGAUGGAGAACUUCGCGGCCUAUCAGCUAGUUGGUGAGGUCAUGGCUCACCAAGGCGACGACGGGUAGCUGGUCCGAGAGGAUGACCAGCCACAUUGGGACUGAGACACGGCCCAGACU
rnacentral:rRNA from 1 species